rnacentral:rRNA from 1 species
UACGUAGGGGGCAAGCGUUGUCCGGAUUUAUUGGGCGUAAAGAGCGUGUAGGCGGCCAGACAGGUCUGCUGUGAAAACUCGAGGCUCAACCUCGAGAUGUCGGCGGAAACCUUCCGGCUAGAGUCCGGAAGAGGAGAGUGGAAUUCCUGGUGUAGCGGUGAAAUGCGCAGAUAUCAGGAAGAACACCUAUGGCGAAGGCAGCUCUCUGGGACGGUACUGACGCUGAGACGCGAAAGCGUGGGGAGCGAACAGG